GAGAGAGAGAGAGAGAGAGAGGGAGGAGGAAAGGCGUGUUUACAUAGACGGCAAAACGCCUGGGGAAUCGUAGGGAAGAGGAAGCCAGCCGGCUCUCUGUCUGCCUGCUCCAACUUCCUGCUCAGAAAGAGAAAAAGAAGCCAGGAUCCUAUUUCAGUCCAGCAGAGCCAUGUAGCCAAGCUAGACGGCAGUCAGAAUGGAAAAACAAGGGGUCAUACAAAUUUCAUCAUAAACUUUUUCAAGGAGUUUCAAGGAAAGGCAAACAAGAGAUCGCAGGUAUGGACAGUGCUAUCACGCUGUGGCAGUUCCUGUUACAGCUGUUAUUGGACCAGAGUCACAAGCACCUGAUCUGCUGGACGUCCACUGAAGGGGAGUUUAAACUGCUCAAGUCAGAGGAGGUGGCCAAGCUGUGGGGGCUCCGCAAGAACAAAACCAACAUGAACUACGACAAGCUGAGCAGAGCUCUGAGAUACUACUAUGACAAGAACAUUAUCAAGAAGGUGAUCGGACAGAAGUUUGUCUACAAGUUUGUCUCAUUCCCGGAAAUAUUAAAGAUGGACCCAGCAGCAGUGGAGAUGGGCUUGGCUUCUGGCCGGGUUACGCUCCACGAGGACCAGGACAUCCAGGACCUGGAUGUAGAGGAGGAGGAGGAAGAGGAGGAGGAGGCGCAGCAGCAGAGGAGGGCCCUGGGGGCAGCGUUAGGGGCGGCUGCGGCGGCCCAGCAGGCUGCGUGUCAUAACAAGUACUUCUGCUCUGGCCUCUACUCUUCCUUCAGCAUCAACACCCUCCAUUCUCCUUCCGAGGAGUUGCUCCGGGCCCUGAGGGAGAGACAGGAGAGACAGCAGGACGAGGCCCGCUCCGGAGUCAUCCGAUUUGGGACGGGUACCACCGAGAGGACUCCACCCUCACUGUCCCUCAUCAAGCCUGAGCCUUCAUCACAAUCCUUCAGCACCCACAGGCCAUCCAAACCCUCCCCUCUCCACCAUUAUACCCAACACCAACACCAGCGCCACUCUCCGCCCUCCUCCUCCCACCACAGCCCUAACCCCCAGCCAGGGCCAGGCCGAGGAGGCUGGAGCCCAGAGGCUGAAGAGGAGGAGGAGGGGGAGGACUCUGACCAGGGAGCCCAGCCUUUGAAUCUCUCUUCUGGGCUUAGAGAGAGAGAGCAGGCCCUGCAGCCUCCGGAGAAGAGGACCAAUGGUGUUAGUAGGGUUAGUGGUAGUAGUCAUGGAGACAGUUGUCAUGGACUCCCACCCAAAACCAAUAAGCCCAAAUCCCUAGAGAUCUCCGCCCCCUCCCUGCUCUUGACAGGAAGUGAUAUCGGCUCGAUAGCCCUCAAUAGCCCCGCCCUACCGUCCGGAUCCCUCACCCACACCUUCUUCACUGCACAGACUCCAUCUGGUCUGCUGCUGGGCCACAGCUCUCUGUUAUCAGGCGUUCACUUUUGGAGCAGCCUAAGUCCCUCAGCCCCUCUGAGCCCGGCCAGACUACAAGGACACCGAUCACUGUUUCAGGUAAAACCUGGAGGGAGGGAGUGAAAGACAGAAGUGCUGAAUGGACUGUGUUUUUUUUGUUUACUCCCCAAGAUGGGUAGUUGAGGAGGGAGUUCAGGGAGGGAGAGAAAGAAGGAUGGAUGGAGAGAGCGAGAGAGAGGAAGGAGGCAGAGGGACAGUGUUUGUUGGGUUGAUCGCCACAUCUUGUUCGUUUCCCCCCGAGGAUGGACAGUACCCCAACCUAAUGAAUGGACACCUCCCCCUGCCAAACUUGGACGGGUCCCCCUCACCCCUGCUCCUGUCCCCUGCCAAUCACAAGUCAUGAUUCAGGCUCUCAAAACCCAAUCCAGCUCAUUGGACCAACUGCCACCUGCAUCAAGCAUCAUGAAUUCCCAUCAGCCUUCACUUGAUUUUCUUCCAAAUUGUCUUAUGAUUUGGAGUCUCAACCCCCCCUCAUCCCCCAUCCAUCUCAACCCCCCCUCAUCCAUCUCAACCCCCCCCCACUCAUCUCACCUCCCCUCAUCCAUCUCAACCCCCCAUCCAUCUCAACCCCCCUCAUCCAUCUCAACCCCCCCACUCAUCUC